rnacentral:rRNA from 1 species
UACGGAGGGUGCAAGCGUUAAUCGGAAUUACUGGGCGUAAAGCGCACGUAGGUGGUUUGUUAAGUCAGCUGUGAAAUCCCCGGGCUCAACCUGGGCACUGCAGUUGAAACUGGCAAGCUAGAGUAGGGUAGAGGGGUGUGGAAUUCCAGGUGUAGCGGUGAAAUGCGUAGAUAUCUGGAGGAACAUCAGUGGCGAAGGCGACACCCUGGACUCAUACUGACACUGAGGUGCGAAAGCGUGGGGAGCAAACCGG